rnacentral:rRNA from 1 species
UACGGGGGGAGCAAGCGUUGUUCGGAUUUACUGGGCGUAAAGGGCGCGUAGGCGGCGCAACAAGUCACUUGUGAAAUCUCCGGGCUUAACCCGGAGCGGUCAAGUGAUACUGUCGUGCUAGAGUGCGGAAGGGGCUACUGGAAUUCUCGGUGUAGCGGUGAAAUGCGUAGAUAUCGAGAGGAACACCUGCGGCGAAGGCGGGUUGCUGGGCCGACACUGACGCUGAUGCGGCGAAAGCCCAGGGGAGCGAACGGG